rnacentral:tRNA from 1 species
GGGGUCGUAGCUCAGUUGGUUUAGAGCGCCGCACUGUCACUGCGGAGGUCGCGGGUUCGAGUCCCGUCGAUCCCGCCA